CCCAGACAGGCCUAAUUCCUGGAUGGGCUAGAAGCAUAAGCCACUGUACCCUCCCAGGAUUAGAAUGGGGAAGGCUGUCCACUCCACCUCAACUGAGAGGGGGCUGGGCGCCUUCUUUCUAUCCCCUCCCACCAUCCUCUUGGGAGCUUGCAGGGUGGGGAGCAUCAGGCCAUUUUGAACAGUCCAUCUCUGAAGGGGUGACAUUUACUGCUGGCUCCCAAGAGCGUGCACCAUGAAGCAAGCAGCUGCCCCCAUGGUCUCCAACCCUCACAGGCCCACAGCUGCACUUGGGGUUGCUAAAGACAAUGUGUCUCCUGGAACCCUUCCUCAGCAAUGUUCUCGCUGAACACCGAAAAUACAAUGAUCCACUCAGAGGGGCAGCUUGGAACUCUACAGACACCUGAAUUCACAGUGACACCAGCAGUACCGGUGUUUGCAGGUAUCUAGACAACAGAAGAGAUCGGCGGGACACCAGCCAGCAUCAAGCCACAGGUGGGCCUGUGAACACCAGGCCGGGCCGGCCUGUCUCCCUUUCAAAGGCAGUUCUCUUGCAUCUCACAUCCAUGUGGCCAAGUUGUUACUUUAAGUUCCACCUCCUCCAAGAAGCUUCCCCUGAUUACCUCCCCUUCCAAAUCCAGUGUGAACUGAGUGUGAACUAAAUCCAGGGCUCAGGCUUGCAGGUACAGGCUUGACAAGGGCUCAUCUUAUUCACCAGAAGCAGCAAUUAUGACUCGGACCUUUCCGGCUUGUAGUGAGUGCCAAGCACACAGGGGGUUGCUCUGAUGAUGAGGCAGCAACAGCAUAAAUAGGAACGGUGGUUUGGAAGACGCCCAUCCCCAUGACAGUGGGCCGGGCUGUGUACGCAGAAAGCCAUUCAAUCCCCGCAACGCCGCUGCCAGCUACUCCUUCCUUGCCUUCUCCCAGCCCUGACUGAAGUCUCCAGCAGCCCCGACGGCUCUCCCAGUCUUUUUCAGGUAAUAAAAAGGCCUAGCACACUUUACCCAAGACAGUGGUGAAUACAGAGAUAUUUUAAACUUCCUUUUAUGUAUC
rnacentral:lncRNA from 1 species